CCGCAGGCGGCCAACCAAGCCGCGCGUGAAAUCCCUCGGCUCAACUGGGGGCGGUCGCGCGGGACUGGUCGGCUCGAGGCCGGUAGGGGGGAGCGGAAUUCCGGGUGUAGUGGUGGAAUGCGUAGAGAUCCGGAGGAACACCAGUGGCGAAGGCGGCUCCCUGGACCGGUCCUGACGCUCAGGGGCGAAAGCGUGGGUAGCGAUCCGGAUUAGAUACCCGGGUAGUCCACGCCGUAAACGAUGGGCACUAGGUGUCGGGGGUAUCGACCCCCCCGGUGCCGAAGCAAACGCGAUAAGUGCCCCGCCUGGGGACUACGGCCGCAAGGCUAAAACUCAAAGGAAUUGACGGGGGCCCGCACAAGCAGCGGAGCGUGUGGUUUAAUUCGACGCAACGCGAAGAACCUUACCCAGGCUUGACAUGCACGUGGUACGAGGUGGAGACACCGAGGACCCGCAAGGGAGCGUGCACAGGUGCUGCACGGCUGUCGUCAGCUCGUGCCGUGAGGUCUUGGGUUAAGUCCCGCAACGAGCGCAACCCUCGCCGCCAGUUACGAUGUCUGGCGGGACCGCCGGGUCCAACCCGGAGGAAGGUGGGGAUGACGUCAAGUCAGCAUGGCCCUUACGCCUGGGGCUACACACACGCUACAAUGGCCGGCACAAGGGGCUGCGAAGGGGCGACCCGGAGCGAAUCCCGCCAAAGCCGGUCCCAGUUGGGAUCGCAGGCUGCAACUCGCCUGCGGAACGCGGAGUUGCUAGUAACCGCAGGUCAGCACACUGCGGUGAUACGUUCCCGGGCUUGU
rnacentral:rRNA from 1 species